AUUGAACGCUGGCGGCAUGCUUUACACAUGCAAGUCGAACGGUAACAGGCCGCAAGGUGCUGACGAGUGGCGAACGGGUGAGUAAUGCAUCGGAACGUGCCCAGUCGUGGGGGAUAACGCAGCGAAAGCUGCGCUAAUACCGCAUACGAUCUAUGGAUGAAAGCGGGGGACCGUAAGGCCUCGCGCGAUUGGAGCGGCCGAUGUCAGAUUAGGUAGUUGGUGGGGUAAAGGCUCACCAAGCCAACGAUCUGUAGCUGGUCUGAGAGGACGACCGGCCACGCUGGGACUGAGACACGGCCCAGACUCCUACGGGAGGCAGCAGUGGGGAAUUUUGGACAAUGGGCGCAAGCCUGAUCCAGCAAUGCCGCGUGCAGGAAGAAGGCCUUCGGGUUGUAAACUGCUUUUGUACGGAACGAAACGGUCCUGGUUAAUACCUGGGGCUAAUGACGGUACCGUAAGAAUAAGCACCGGCUAACUACGUGCCAGCCGCCGCCGUAACAC
rnacentral:rRNA from 1 species